rnacentral:rRNA from 1 species
AUACGGAGGGUGCAAGCGUUAAUCGGAAUUACUGGGCGUAAAGCGUACGUAUGCGGUUAUUUAAGUCAGAUGUGAAAGCCCCGGGCUUAACUUGGGAACUGCAUUUGAAACUGGGUAACUAGAGUUUAGUAGAGGGGAGUGGAAUUUCAGGUGUAGCGGUGAAAUGCGUAGAGAUCUGAAGGAACACCAGUGGCGAAGGCGACUCCCUGGACUAAAACUGUCGCUGAGGUACGAAAGCGUGGGUAGCAAACAGGAUUAGAAACCCCGGUAGUCC